UGCGUGAAUGCUAUCAAGGGACCUCUUUCCUUCUACUGUUUUCAGAGCUGCAGGCCAUAUUUACCCCCGCUCGCUCAUAGUCGCAACAGGAGUUCUGGAGCCAUACGGGUUACUGUUGGAACAAACUUGACUGAGGAGAAGUGCUUUUGUUCAAGGUGAAAGAUCUGGACUGCAGCACCCAGACUGUUCUACAACGAAGCCAUGCUGUUGUAAUAGCUGCAGUAUGUGGGUUUGCAUUGUCCUGCUGAAAUACACAAGGCCUUCCCUGAAAUAGACGUCAUCUGGAGGGGAGCAUAUAUUGCUCUAAAACCUUUAUAUACCUUUCAGCAUUCAUAGUGCCUUCCAAAACAUGCAAGCUGCCCAUACCGUAUGCACUUAUGCACCCCCAUACCAUCAGAGAUGCUGGCUUUUGAACUGAACGCUGAUAACACGCUGGACAGUCUCCCUCCUCUUUAGCCCGGAGGACAUGGCAUCCAUGCUUUCCAACAAGAAUGUCAAAUUUGGACUUUUCCACUUUGAAACAGUCCAUUUUAAAUGAGCCUUGGCCCACAGGACACGACGCUGUGUCUGGACCAUGUUCACAUAUGGCUUCCUUUUUGCAUGAUAGAGCUUUAGUUGGCAUCUGCAGAUGGCACGGUGGAUUGUGUUUACCGACAGUGGUUUCUGGAUGUAUUCCUGGGCCCGUUUAGUAAUGUCAUUGACACAAUCAUGCUGAUGAGAGAUGCAGUGUCGUCUGAGAGCCCGAAGACCAUGGCCAUCCAAUAAAGGUCUUCGGCCUUGUCCCUUAUGCACAGAGAUUUCUCCAGUUUCUCUGAAUCUUUUGAUGAUGUUAUGCACUGUAGAUGAUGAGAUUUGCAAUUUGAUGUUGAGGAACAUUGUUUUUCAAGUAUUCCACAAUCUUUUUACACACUCUUUCACAGAUUGCCCAUCUUUACUUCUGAGAGACUCUGCCUCUCUAAGACAUCCCUUUUAUAGUUAAUCAUGUUACAGAACUGAUAUCAAUUAACUUAGUUAGUUGCUAGAUGUUCUCCCAGCUGAAUCUUUUCAAAAUUUCUUGCUUUUUCAGCCAUUUGUUGCCCCUGUGCCAACUUUUUUGAGACCUGUAGCAGGCAUCAAAUUUGAAAUGAGCUCAUUUAGUGGAUAAAAGUGUAAAAUUUCUCCCUUUAAACAUUUGUUAUGUUAUCUAUGUUCUAUUGUGAAUAAAAUAUUGGCUCAUGUGA